UACAGAGGUCUCAAGCGUUUGUUCGGAUUCAUUGGGCGUAAAGGGUGCGUAGGUGGCGUCGUAAGUCAGGUGUGAAAUCUCGGAGCUUAACUCCGAAACUGCAUUUGAUACUGCGGUGCUUGAGGACUGGAGAGGAGACUGGAAUUUACGGUGUAGCAGUGAAAUGCGUAGAGAUCGUAAGGAAGACCAGUGGCGAAGGCGGGUCUCUGGACAGUUCCGUGAC
rnacentral:rRNA from 1 species